UGCGCAGGCGGACCUAUUAGUCAGUGGUGAAAUCCUGGGGCUCAACUCCGGAACUGCCAUUGAUACUGUAGGUCUUGAGUUUGGUUGAAGUGGGCGGAAUGUAGCAUGUAGCGGUGAAAUGCAUAGAUAUGCUACAGAACACCGAUCGCGAAGGCAGCUCACUAAACCAAAACUGACGCUCAGGCACGAAAGCGUGGGUAGCGAACAGGAUUAGAUACCCUGGUAGUCC
rnacentral:rRNA from 1 species